AUGUAAAAAAUUUAUUUUAAAUAUUUUGUAAAAUAGUUUAUAUUUAAGUAUAUAAUUGGAAAAAUUAAUUUUAUUGAUAAGUAAUUAGUAAUGAAAAUGAAUUUAUUUUUAUGUUGAUAAGAAAAAUUUUGAUUUUGUACCUUGUGUAUCAGGGUUUAUUAAAAAUUUAAUUAUAUAAUUAAUUCUCGAUUUAAUAUGAUUUAUAAAAUUAUAAAUUUUAUUGUGAAAUAAAUAUUUAAAAUAAUUUUAUGGAAAUGAAAUGUUAUUCGUAUAUUAAUAUAUCUAGUUUUUUAAGAAAUAAAUUUAAUUUAUUGGUUUUUAUAUAUAUAUAUAUAUAUAUAUAUACAUAUAUAUUAAAAAUUCACAAUAAUUUUAGGGAUAAGCUUGAAAUUAAAUUUUAAAAUUUAGGGUUAGUUUAAAGUAAGUAGGAUUGAAAGUUUUUAUCAUUAAUUAUUAAUUUAUAUUAAUUUUUAAAUUAUUAUUAAUUUUUAUAAAAUUUUAUUUUUUAUUAGAAAAAUAUAAUAAAUUUUUUAUUUUAUGAUAUAAUGAUAAAAUUAGUAUAUACAAAUUUAGAUAAUGAUAGUAGGGUGAGGUAUUAUAAAGGAAUUCGGCAAAUUAUAUUUUUGCCUGUUUAUUAAAAACAUGGUUUUUUGAUUAUAAUUUAAAAUUUGGCCUGCUCAAUGAAAUUUUAAAUGGCUGCAGUAAUUUGACUGUACAAAGGUAGCAUAAUAAUUAGUUAUUUAAUUGAUAACUGGAAUGAAUGGUCGGACAAGAAGUAUGCUGUCUCUAUAAUAUUUAAAUAGAAUUUUAUUUUUAAGUAAAAAAGCUUAAAUUUUGUUAAAAGACGAGAAGACCCUAUAGAAUUUUAUAUUUAAAUUUAUAUUAAUUUUUAGUAAUAAAAUUUAAUAUUUAAAUAAUAUUUUAUUGGGGCGAUAGGAAAAUUUAAUUAACUUUUUUAUUUAUAAUUCAUUUAUAGAUGUUAAAUUGAUUCAAUUUUAUUGAUUAAUAGAGUAAAUUACCUUAGGGAUAACAGCGUAAUUUUUUUAAAAGAUCAAAUUGAAAUAAAAGAUUGCGACCUCGAUGUUGGAUUAAAAUUGAAAUUAAGUGUAGAAGCUUAGUAAUUAGGUCUGUUCGACCUUUAAAAUUUUACAUGAUCUGAGUUUAAACCGAUGUGAAUCAGGUUGGUUUCUAUCUUUAAUAAUAUAUAAUAAUUUAGUACGAAAGGAAUUAUUAUUUAUUAAAUUAAUUUAUAUUGAAUAUUAUUAUU
rnacentral:rRNA from 1 species